GGGGCAUAACACCACAUUGUUGUGGUGGCUGAACUGCUUGGAGAGUCCAGCGAUCUGUGGCACUGCCCUAUAGACUCUCUGCUGUAGGAGCAGUGGUCAUCAUAGGAUGGGAUAGGUUUUUUGCAUCUGGAGAAAGGAGGCGCAGGAAUCUAAGAACGUACAACCACAAAUCUGAAAUGUACGUGGUCCUCAGACAGACAGCAUGCACCAGCUACUUCAGCCGAAGAGAAAGCAGUGUUCCACAGGAGGGCCUUCAACUCUUUGCCUCAGCCCUAUAUCCUUAACCAAA